ensembl:lncRNA
AGAGAAGCCAUAGAGCAGCCACACAGACCCUGCUCUGUAGGAUCCUAGAAGUGUGGGUCUCAGGAAAGGAAGAUGGAGGGUGGAUUACAGAACCCUUGGAGUCAGCACUGGGAUCCCCCCAAAUCCUGAAGCAGUGUCUGGAUGGCAAAAUGCUGAGGGGUCAAGUCUGAAGCCUGUCCCUAGGGGUACGGGCUGCACAGGCCUCCCCAGGUUCUCACGCCGGUACACGUGGUGUAACAUCUCAGCCGACUGAAGAGGACAUUUAAUGUCAUCGUUCACGUUGCUAGUUAACAACCCACCGGUUACAUGGGUGAAAAUCCAUCAGGACGCCUGCUACACGCACGGACAGCUCCGAACGUGGCCAAGGGGGAGGACUGACGCAGCCAGCAGCCCUGCUGCCCUCCCACCCCACUGCCAAGGAGGGUCUGCAGUGCGGAGCUGGGGGACCCCAUGGAGGCAUCUCUAAGUGAACGCUGGCUGACCCCCAGGCUGGUGGCUCCUGAGCCUCCUCCAGCCUUCCCAGCUAAGACACCUGAAUGUGAGCAAAGACCUCAGAGGCUGGAGGAAGGAGCCUGGAACCACCCCAGCGGCAGCACGCUUGCCGAGUUGGCUGUGCAGGCCAGGCAGGAUGGUGCUGACCCCAGGGGCUCUUCUGGAAGCUUUCCAUCUUCUUACCUGAGUUACUCCUCUGCCCUGCUCCCACUGCCUGUGUUUUUGCUUCCUCACCUCUGCCUGGGAAGACUUCCAACAGCAGGUACCAGCAACACAACCUCUUCCUUAUCAAGUGGCAGCCUAGCAACUCCUGCAGAAGGCCCAGCAGAGCCCCGUGCAGGCGACCCCCUGACACGCCACGGCCCCUCAUUCCCUCUCGCCAGCCCAGCCCUGCGGCCUCUGAUGGCAGAGAAGGUGAUGUCUGGUACCGCUGCAGGCGCCCUCCUGCCUGGAACCAGGGCCUCAAGCAGGCACACCUGGGAAGGGCUGGCCAGCUGGGUCACGCUGCCCGGGUCAGCCGAUCCUUGCCCACCAGGGGCUCAUUUACAGAAAACGGGCCCUGCUGUCCCAAGUCCACGGACCAGCUGUGUCCUGAAGGUCAGGAUGGACGUGGGGCUGCAGCUCUGGUCUGUCUGCUAAGUAUGUUAACUGGCCUAUAAGUGGGAAACAAUUUCAAGAAGACCUGUCAUGCGUUCCUGGUGGUCCAGUGGUUAUUAAUCCACCUUGCAAAGCAUGGGACACCAGUUCGAUCUCUGGUGAUCUCUGGCCAGGAUGAUCCCACAUGCCUCAGAGAGAGUGAGGCUGCGCCCCAGCAGCUGAGCCUGUGCGCUGGGACCCACGCACUGCAACUACUGAAGUUGGCCCAUCUGGAGCCUGAGCUCCAGGCAAGAGAAGGCGCCACGAUGCGAAGCCCGCUGACCUUGGCGAGGAGGAGCCCCCACUCCCGACAACCAGAGAGGAGGCUCGUGUGCAGUGAUAAAGUCCUACCACAGCCAGCAGUAAAAUAAAUGAAUGAAUCUUAAAAAAAGAAAAGAACUCUCCCCAGGAGAGGAGCCCAGGAGUGAGGGAGAGGAGGGGAGAUGUGGAGGCCUGGUUGGGGGAGGCCAGAUAAACUCCAUGGGCUGCCCAGCAUCAGGAUCUUUUCCAGGGAGUCAGUUCUUCAUUCGAAUCAGGUGGCCUAAAUAUUGGAGCUUCAGCUUCAGCAUCAGUCUUUCCAAUGAACAGCCAGGACUGAUCUCCUUUAGGAUGGACUGAUUGGAUCUCCUUGCAGUCCACGGGACUCAAGAGUCUUCUUCAGCACCACAGUUUGAAAGCAUCAAUUCAGGCUUCCUUGUGGUCCAACUCUCACAUCCAUACAUGACUACUGGAAAAACCACAGCUUUGACUAUACCAACCUUUGUCAGCAGAUGUCUCUGCUUUUUAAUAUAUUGUCUAGGUUGGUCAUAGCUUUUCUUCCAAGGAACAAGCAUCUUUUAAUUUCAUGGCUGCAGUCACCAUCCACAGUGAUUUUGGAGCCCAAGAAAACAAGUCUGUCAAUGUUUCCACUGUUUCCCCAUCUGUUUGCCAUGAAGUGAUGGGAUCGGAUGACAUGAUCUUAGCUUUCUGAAUGCUGAGUUUUAAGCCAGCAUUUUCACUCUCCUCUUCUACCUUCAUCAAGAGGCUCUUUAGUUUCUCUCUGCUUUCUGCCAUAAGGGUGGUGUCAUCUGCGUAUGAGAUAAUUUUAUUCUGGCAAUCUUGAUUCCGGCUUGAGUUUCAUCCAGCCCAGCAUUUUACAUGAUGUACUCUGCAUAUUAGUUAAAUAAGCUCCUGGUACCCAUUUUUUUAACGUAGCUGCUUGUUUCAUAGCACUUUAUAUUAUGCAGGUACAAGUUCUUUAUCACAUGUGUAGUUUGCAAAUAUUUUUUCUUCAUUUCUGGCCUGGGUUUUGACUUUCUGGAUAAGUGAUUUCACCGGUACAAUUUUCAGUUUUAUAAAGUUUGCUAUUUUUUCCCCUUUUCUGUGGAUUUUCAUGUGAUGUGUUGGAAAUAAAAGUUUGUGGUCUACAUGACAAAAGCCACAGCCAUGUCGAUUUUCUUCUAUAAUUUUAAAAAGUUUUAUAUUUUAAAUUUGCCUUUAGACAACUUGGAGUGUCUUUUGGUUUGAGCUGUAAAGUCUGUUCCUACAUUCCUUUUGUGGUUCCUAAUUACCCUGUAGUUAGGUUGCACAAGUCCUGGGAUAGUGGCCUCGACCCGUUUAUUUCCAGAGUGUUGUGCCUCGAGCACGACGGGCAGGAAAGACCCCGGCCGCUCUGCAGUGGGAGCGGGCGUGGCCUGCAUUCUCCCAGUUGGCCCGCAGAGGGCGACAAGCCGCCUCACUUCCCAGGGCCGACC